rfam:Danio rerio chromosome 16, GRCz11 reference primary assembly.
UGAUAAAGCCAUAUCACCCUGCAGCAAAAGACUGGUUACUCACUGAAGCUAAGCAGGGCUGAGCCUGGUCAGUACCUGGAUGGGAGACCACAUGGGAAAAAUAGGUUGCUGUUGAAA